AGAGUUUGAUCCUGGCUCAGGAUGAAUGCUGGCGGCGUGCCUAACACAUGCAAGUCGAGCGGCAGCGAGUUUUACACUGAAUUCUGGAAGCUUCUGGGUAAUAUAGAAGAUUUAUUCAAGAAUUUUGUGUAAAAUGUCGGCGAGCGGCGGACGGCUGAGUAACGCGUAGGAAUUUGCCCCAAAGUGAGGAAUAACUGCCCGAAAGGGUAGCUAAUGCCGCAUAUGGUCUUCGGAUUAAAGCCUUCGGGCGCUUUGGGAGAAGCCUGCGUUGGAUUAGGUAGUUGGUAGGGUAAUGGCCUACCAAGCCGACGAUCCAUAGCUGGUCUGAGAGGAUGAUCAGCCAGACUGGAACUGAGACACGGUCCAGACUCCUACGGGAGGCAGCAGUGAGGAAUCUUCCACAAUGGGCGAAAGCCUGAUGGAGCAACGCCGCGUGAAGGAUGAAGGCCUUCGGGUUGUAAACUUCUUUUAUGAGUGAAGAAUAUGACGGUAACUCAUGAAUAAGCACCGGCUAACUACGUGCCAGCAGCCGCGGUCAUACGUAGGGUGCAAGCAUUAUCCGGAGUGACUGGGCGUAAAGAGUUGCGUAGGCGGUUUAAUAAGUGAAUAGUGAAACCUGGUGGCUCAACCAUACAGACUAUUAUUCAAACUGUUAAACUCGAGAAUGGUAGAGGUAACUGGAAUUUCUAGUGUAGGAGUGAAAUCCGUAGAUAUUAGAAGGAACACCGAUGGCGUAGGCAGGUUACUGGGCCAUUUCUGACGCUAAGGCACGAAAGCGUGGGGAGCGAACCGGAUUAGAUACCCGGGUAGUCCACGCCGUAAACGAUGGAUACUAGCUGUUGGAGGUAUCGACCCCUUCAGUAGCGAAGCUAACGCGUUAAGUAUCCCGCCUGUGGAGUACGGCCGCAAGGCUAAAACAUAAAGGAAUUGACGGGGACCCGCACAAGCGGUGGAUUAUGUUCUUUAAUUCGAUGAUAACCGAAGAACCUUACCAGGGCUUGACAUCCAGGGAAGGUCUGCGAAAGUAGACUGUGCCUUUUGGAACCCUGUGACAGGUGAUGCAUGGCCGUCGUCAGCUCGUGUCGUGAGAUGUUAGGUUAAGUCCUUCAACGAGCGCAACCCUUGUGAAUAGUUGUAUUUUUCUAUUCAGACUGCCCCGGUAACGGGGAGGAAGGAGGGGAUGAUGUCAGGUCAGUAUUUCCC
rnacentral:rRNA from 1 species